rnacentral:misc_RNA from 1 species
UGGUGGUGGCCGCCGCCGGCUCGACACAGCGUCGGGUCGGUCGGUCGGUCGUUACGUGGUGCAUGGCAAUCGCGAAUGAAUACUCGUUGACGCUUCGGGGUACCUGUCGCACGUCGUCCGUCUUCGCGUGCGGUGAGCAGGCCUCGGGCUUCGGCCCCCGGUCGGCGAAGGUCCAACGAACCGUCCGCGCGCUCUUCGGGGCGCGCGUUCGGUCGCCCCGUCGCAUUCUCAGUUUCCCACCCGUCAGUUACCGGUUUCGUACGGUCGUGUGUUACCCAAUGUCAGGACAACGAGAGUUACACAGAC